UAAGCACUCUCUGAGCGAGACUACUUUGGAGCUCGAGAAUGAUAUGAUGGUUACAUACCUUCAAAGUUUGAAGCUCCAAGUAAGUUAAUUUCGAGGACAAAAUUUCUUUUAAGGGGGGAAGAAUGUGAGAGCCCAGUUCAUUAACCGGCCCGCAUACAGCUAGACCAGUGGGCCAGGCCUAUUGGCCGUUGCGGCCUCUAACUCUUCGGGGGCUAUAAAAGCUUCGAACGUCCUUCCUCAGCGAUAGGGUUUUCUGAACCCACGUUGAUGCCGCCGGAGAGGGGCGUCGCAGUUCAUCCCCGAAGCCAGGUACAGUGGAGUUGCCCAACUGUACUUAGGGAUUCGUGAGCGAAUCAAUAUGAAUAAGACUACUAGGAGCAGGGAGCUUGGUGUUAUUCAGGGUUGGGGUAAUUGAAAAUAUUAUGUAAUAAUUAAAUUUUAGAAGCUCUGUACUGUUCCAACUUCAUGAACAAUG